rnacentral:miRNA from 1 species
UCUCCCCCCUCCCCCGCACAG